rnacentral:lncRNA from 1 species
CAAAUUAUAACCACGCACCCAUCCCUACUACAAAACCUAAAUUAUUUUUCCAUCCCCAUCUCACCAAUCUCUCUAUCUAUCUCUCUACACUCCCGAUCACGAAAAUCACCCUCGUGGGUCAUUCGAUCCACUUGGUGACACCCACAACAUAUAACACCCAACAACCAACGACUUAUCCAAGUCCUAAGCACCAUAACCACCACAUCAAUGGUUGCUGCCUGCAAUCAAAAGAACCAUCCCCACUCAUAACCUCCACCAUUCAAUUCACAGUUUUCCCAAUUUGGCUCCUCGUGGGCAACAAGCUUCGUUGCCUCUGCAAUGUACAGCGAUCUCGUACAAACUGGCUCUUUACAAAUGGCCCUCAAUUCUCCAUCUUAGAAGGCGAUAACGCUCAUAGGUGGUGCUGUAAACGUCGAAGCUUUGAAACGAUUAGUCCAACUUCAGAUCUGGCAAUCGUUGUUAGAGGUGCGGCACGGUGAUGUUGUGGUGUAGUAUGAGUUUUGCUACACGUACACCGAAAUUCACACUCCCCUCAUAUGGGGAGAUCCCACAAUUUUUUUAUUGUCGUGGGGCUCAUCCCCUCACAUGAAAAGAGUGUACAUCGGAGUAUCAAUCCUGAUGUACAAAUAGCAUUUUCCGGUGUAGUAUUGUUAGUGAUUGUGGUUUGGUAAAGGAGGAUAUGAUGUUGGAUUUGAUGCCGUGGUGGCAACGAUUGUGCUUUCGCUUGUGGAGUGGGUAACCCAUUAGAUGGUCUCGUUGGUGUUUUUGCAAAUGGGUAGUGGUGUGGUUUGGUGGUGGUGGCUGCAAGGGACAUGGUGAUCGUGGUAUGUGACCAACUAUUUGAUUAAUCUGUGACCAAAUAUAUAAUUGUGGCCUAAAAAUUCGAUAAUUUGUAAUCAAUUAAUUUGAAAAUUUGUAAUUGACAAAUAAGUUGUGAUAUAUAAAUUUUUUUAUUUGUUACCAAAUAAAUAAAUCGUGAUCUAUCAAAAUUUUUGAUUGUGGCCAUGAAAUAAUAUGUGACUAAUUAAUUUUAUGAUAUUUCACAUUAUGAUCUAUAAGUACGCACCUGUGACUAUUAAUUGUAUAAUUGUGACCUUAAUAUAUUUAAUUAAUAAAAUACUUUUAAUUAAUUAGUUAAUACUUGAGUUUUGCAUUUUUAAACUUAAACCUUGAAAAUGAAAUUGCUCAUGCACAAUGCCUGACUUUUGAAUUUUUCUCGAAAUGAAAUGUGAGCAAUUUAUUACCAAAGUAGAUUUUUCUUUGAUGCACGUUUUAAUUUUAAUUAUACAUUUGUAAUAAAUAAAAUUGUGUUGAUUAGAGCUAAAAUAAAUUACUUAUUUUAUUAGUAGGAGACACUAGGUAAUUGGCUAAGCUUAAAGUAAUUAAAAUUUUUAGUUCUAAAAAUAUUUUUAUAAACAAUUUAUUCAUACUUUUAAGAAAGAAACUUAUUUAUUUUGACAAUGAAAUAGAUGUUACUAUCAAAAUAAACUUACUUUAUAUUUAAUCUUAUAGUUAAAAGAAUUUAUUCCUAUAUAAAUAAUAAGAUUAUAUGUAUAUUAUAGAAGUUGAUCAACACAUGGACAUGGAAGAUACAAAUAUUUUUACCCUCGAAAUUCCUUGUCAUUUUUUUCACUUUAGGUGGAUUCUUUACUCACCGUGGAAUGUGUUGGUAUGAAAGAUUGAAAUCCUCAUGAAAUAGUCUUUUGAGAACGGUGGCGUACAAUAAUAUAUUUCGGUUGCCUUUUUUGGUCAAAACCAGAGCCGAACCUGAUGGGAGGCCCAAGAGGCCUCCACCUCAGGCCCAGAAUUUUAGGGGCCCCAUUUUUUCACUUUUUACAUUUUUUUUUUUUUUGAAAAAACCCACUAUGCCCAUGCGUUCAAAAGAAAAGACUUUCAGACUCAGAGAAAUCAACGGCAAAACUUACAUGUUCAACGGUGGUGGUCGGAGCUAAUGUGGUGGCCAUCCUCACCAAUUCACUGUCAACAAUCCACCUCUUAAUUCACCGCUCCUUUUUGUUUAGGUGAUGUCUAAAAUCUAAAUUUAUUUUUCUUCUUUCUUUCACUUUCUUGUACAUAAUAUAGUAUUUCAGUUUUUUUUUUCUUUUUCUCUUUCCUUUAUUUUGGGAUUUUGGGGUGUAAUUGUUGUUAUAAUGUUAUUGGCUGAUUUCUUCUUGCGGUUUCCAAAAUCUGAUGUUAUGCUCUAUUCUUCAACUUCAUCUAGAAAUUCCUCUUUUUUCUCCGAUUUUGAAAAUUUGAAUCUUUUGAAGGCAUUUUUUAUUUUCCUAACUUUUAAUCAAAUAUUUGAAUGUAAUUUGGAGAAAAAAUAAUGGACUAUUUUGAUGGCAAAGCUCUGCAGCAGAAGAAGAGAGUGUGAAAGGUUUUUAUUUCAUUUCAAAGUUGAAUAGGGCUCACUGGCUUAAUUUUAUACAAGCAAUUCAAUUGCUUAAAAAGUUACGAAUGUUUUUAAGAAGGUUUUAAUUUUAUUUUAAUUUUGCUUUUAGCUGAAUAUAAAUGGGAGAAGAAGGAUGUUUGUUUUGAGUGUAGUUGGACAGAGCCUUUGGUUAUGAUUGAAUCCAUAAAGACAAAGGAAAACUUGCUGAACUUUUGCAUGAUGUAGGCCUUGGAGUUUUUAGCCACUUGUUUGAACAUGAGUUUCUUCCUAUGAUUCACAAGGGAUCAGAAUGGUCUCAUGAGCAAAUGCCCGUAGACGUGGUGGAUCAUAUUGUGGAUGUGCAUCAUAUUGAAAUAGAAUCUGAGGCUAUAAAAAGAGUAAAGGAAAUGAUACUUGCUAGUUCGAAAGGCAAUCGAGUUAUUGGUUGUAGAUGCCUUAUUGAAAGCAAAUAAUUAUCUAGAGAUAGCAUCUCAUAUACAUGAUCCUUCACAAUAUUGGAAGUUAGGUGACACAAUAAUCCAAACUAUUGAGACAGCUCCAAACCUAGAAUUAAAGGAAUCUGGGACUUGAUCCUUCUCAUUCGUCGGAGAGAUUUAUAUCAGUUUUGUAAUGAGUAUGCUAUUCUCGAGGAGCACCUUGACAAUUUUAAGGAUGUCACUUCACAAGAUAUUGUUUGUUCACAGAAAAGUGGUGGAGUGGCCCUUAAAGAAGAGGAUGUUGCAGUCACCAAGGUUUUUAUUUCUUACAUGGAAAUGAUUAAUAGUGAGGUUAUUCCAAAAAAGGGGGGUGGCAAGGUUUAGUCCCAAUCCCAAGUAAUAAAAAUAGAAAUUGAGAGUUAAGAAAAUAAAGAUUUUAUCAUUUUCAUUUUGCCUUUGUUCUAUGGCCUUUGCUGGGAUAUUAUUUAUGGACUGCUUUGGGAUCCCUACAACUUAUUUUUUGCCUUUGCUUUUUUCACUUUUCAGUAAUUGUUAGCUGACGAGUGACUUGAGUCAAAUACUAUGGCUCAUAAAUCUACAUCUGGAGCUCAAAAAAAAAAAUUUAGAGAGAGAGAGAGAGAGAAAGAGUAGAGACAUUAAUUCGAAGUCAGAUUGGAUAAACAAAUAAAUACUUUAAUAAGAAGAGAAGGAAGGAACACCGAAAAUUUUAUUUGUUGUUUUAUUGUCGAUUUAAGUUAACAAAUUUAAUUCCGUAAACUUCUAAUUUUUUAUUUUAUUUUUUUUUAAAAAGGGAUUGUUUGCUACGACUUAGGGCCUAGGGCCCAAAUUUUGAAAUUCGCCUCAAGCCCCGCGAAGCACAGGUAUGGCACUGGUCAAAACUUUCAGUUGUUUGAUAUAGCUGGUUGUAAAAUUCUAUAGAAUAGUACUCAUUAAGUAAUUUUUAAAAAAAAAAAUUUUGAUUGGUGGAUAUAUAACAUGUGCUUAUGAUAUAUAACAUGUGCUUAGGGGUGAGCGCUUCAGAACCGAACUGAACCAAAAUUUUCAGGUAUCUAGUAAAUGGAACCGUCGGGUCCAAAUAUAAUUAUGGAGCCGUUCGGGUUCUGUUCCGUUCGGGUCGGUUCCGUUCGGUUUUGUACUAUAAUUAAAUUUUUUAACAUUUAUAACAACAUUAUAUAAAUACAACUAAUGAUACAUUUAAUGGUUUUGGAAUGUCAAAGACUAGUAGACUACCUUAUUCAAAUGAUCGCUAUGGUCAAAGUUUCGGUCGGCGGAGAUCACAGCUUCAAUCAGAGGUCACAGUAUCGACCGAUGAUUGUAUAGGUUUUGGAAUGUUAGCGAGGCUGCGAGAGUGAGUGCGAGAGUCUAGACAACGGUAUAUGCUUUAGUGUAGGUGUUUAGGGUUAUUUAGUGGAUUGUAUUUUGUUGAGUUAAGAAAUGAAACAAUAAAAUGGGUAAUUGAGUCAAAAAUUAAAAAAUUAGAAAUAAAACAAAUUAUUAGGUCAAAAUUUGAAUUUAAAAAUGUUUAAUUUCUUUAAAAUAAAUUAAAAUUAAAAUAAUUUGAUUUACUCAAAAUAAAAAAAAAUUAGAAAGAUUCGGUUCUUAUUCGAUUUUUCGGUUCUUGGUCUAGAACCGAGAACCGAACCGUACCCGUCAGUUCUCAAUUCAGAUACCCGUUUGGGUAUUUAAUUUGACAAGAACCGUCGGGUUCGGUUCAGUUCGGUUCGGGUUCGGUUCGGGAGAUUUGCCCAGCCCUACAUGUGCUUAUGUUUAUCAUGCUUCUAUCGGUUUAUAUUUCUAAGGUGAGCAGUCUCCUAAAUUCGAUCUCUUGCAACAUAAGUUUAUUUAGAAGUUUGAAAUUUUAGCCCUCUUUAUAAUUAUUUUCUAGCUCCGUCCCUGACGGUCGAGGUGUAGGAUUACUAAUUGACGAUGGACCUUCAGGGCCACGAAUAAAAGAGGGUCGGGAAAUGGAAUAAGCCAUGUGGUAAGAUUCUGAGGAACGUGUCGAUGAUGUGAUGCGGGCUGAGAAAGGGAAAGAGAUAAGGAUGAAUGAAGGUAGAGAGUGAAGGAGAUGACUGGCUUUGCUGGACAAAUAAUGAUGCCAUAAUGUACCUAGAUGACUAGCUAGCGAGGGUAAUAGUUGUGACACAUGCAAAAGAUUAGAACCUCCGGUCACUCAUGCUUGUGUUCAUGCACGUGUGACUCAAAUUUUGUACAUUAGCAUGUGUGACUUGCAAAACUGUUGUGCAUCAAAGAUGUUGAUUUAUAGAACACAUCAAUGCAAAACUGUAUUCAUGAUUUAUCUAUUAGGCAGUGCAUUUUAUUUUGCCAGUUCUCGAAAAUACAAAAUCAGCAUGUUUAUUGAGUUUAAGUUACUUUAAUAAACAAUUUCUUUUAGAAACUUGACUGAAAGUUUAAGCAAAUUGCAUAUUGGGGUUUUAGGACAGAGUAUGAUUAUUUUUUUCUCAUAUGUUCUUGACUGGGGGUAUCGAAACAGAUGGAAAUAGUUUACAAAAAGAAUUUAUGUGACAUGAGAGUUUAAAGCAAUUGCACGGUUUGUAUUUGUCAUAGCUUUAGAUAUGGAUGACAGAAAGAGAAAUCCAUUUGGAUCUUUUGCUUGCUGAAUUUGUUAUUAUCAAAUAUUGUAAAUCGUCGAUUUUAAUGACAAAAUUUUCCAUUGACAGCUUUUGCUUGCUAAGUUAGAUAUUAACUGUGUGAAUGGCUUUCUGUUUUGUUUCAUUAGAGCCUGGUUCCUUUCCAGAGCCUUUGUUUGUAACUGUGGUUUUCCAAUUGUGUUUUACUGAGCUAUCCCUUACAGAGGAUUCCUUCUGCAGGUACCAUGUUGGUUAACAUAUGAUUAUCCACAAGACGCCAGGGAAAAACUUAGGCAUCGAUGGGGUUCAGACUGGAAAGGUCAAGCACAAAAAUGGUGAGUACAUAUGCUUCUUCUUUUCCUCAUAGACGUUUGAUAUAUUUUGAUUUUACAUCCUUGAUAGAAACUGCAGCUUUGUAGAUAGUUCAAGUGAGGUAGAUUUUGCCCUUUUGUGAAAAUAUUGUGCAGUAUGAGCCAUUGCCUUAACAGAUAAGUUUAUAAUUUGUAAAGCUAUCUAUAAAGCCCAAAAUUCUGAAAAUUGGCUUCUGGUGCUAGUGGCCCACUACCAUCAAUUAAGUUACAUACUGUUCUCGCAUUUGCUGUUACCAUACUAAACCAGAUAAACCUACUAAUUGAGAGACAGGGAUAAAACUCUAUUUAUACAGGGACAUCAAUAGAGAUUGGAAAGUGCUACAUGUACAUGAUUGUCUACAUAAUGGCGUUCAUAAUUACACGUGGCGCUGGAUUCAACCUUUAAUUCAAAUCUUAGAUGAUUGCCACAUCACAUUAUGGAUACCAUCAUGUGUAAUAAUUAUGUACAAGUAGAAUUUUCCAUAGAGAUUCCUGUUGAUUCUACAAUCUUUGUGAAUAUGGAUUGAUUGGCCCUACAUGGGUACAUGUUAGGUUAGUGUUCGAGGGAGAGCAAUUUGCUAAAGCAUGAGAGAAGGAACAUUAAUGAUACAAGAAAGAGCCCUCAUUCCUGGGCGUGAGAGAACAAAGGUUACUGUUAUCUGAAAGUGUAUCCAAACAAACUUGAAUAGUGAAUUCAGUAACUAAUGAUUAGAGUUAACAAUUUCGUACAAUGGGUAUGUAAAUGAAAUCCUAGGAGAGGGUCAGAAAUUUUUAAUCUCGUUACUGUUAUGUUUUCUAACUGCAACAUACUCGUAUAAGUAACAAUGGGACUGCAAUAUUCUCUUGUUUUAGAUAUUGAUUUUAAUUAAUUAUUACUAAUUACUUAAUAUCUGCUAUACAACCUCUUCACACAAAUACACAACUAAUAUACAUUCACGAAUGAGAAGAUGCUUUGUUUUCUGUUCUGACUGUAUCUCAGCUGAUAUAUCUGACUUUGAAAUGUGCAAAACUUCACGUUUCUUUUUAAAUUCACUGGAAAGGAUGAAGAAAUCAAUCUUUUGGGUGAUGGGUCUGAGAAGCCUGAAUUCGGAGAAUGAUCAUGGCUGUCACCAGAAGAAAUAAUCAACGUCGUCAGUCCUCUCAUCUAACCUUUAAAAAUGUUUUGAAAUAAAUUUUUUGGUCUUUUCCUGUAAUACUGAAAUUUAACCUUUUUCUAUUUCUUUGCAGGCAGUGGGUUUCAAGAAGCCUGUAUAUCAGGAAGUUUUGACAACUUUCUCUCCACAUCUUGAGUAGAACAUUAAAGGUCGAUUUUUGUUCAAGGAACUGUUUUUCUGCCGAUUUGGGGGAAAUAUGCAAGGCCAUCAACUCACCUAAGAUUCUUGUAUUACAUUAGAGUUUUACUACACGUACUUCGGGGUUGACACUCCGGUGUACACUCCCCUCACCUGGGAGAUUCCAAAAUUUUUUUUAUUGUCAUGGGGCCCAUCCCCUCAUGUGAGGGGAGUGUUAACCUCGAUGUACAAAUAGCAUUUUCCUUUUCUAUGUCACUGUGAGGUAGCAUGGAAAAAUUUGCACCGCUAAUACGGACGUCUUUGUUUGAAGUCACAUACUCACAAUUUCAUUUGUAAUUUUGAGACAGGUUAUGGAGAGUUGAGUAGGAUUGUCUGCUCUCAUUUUCUCCUAUGACAAAUUUGUCCGGGAUAUGGACUUAUGCUAUGAUUUAAAUCAUGCUCAUGUUUGUCAAAUUAAUUUGUAUUUGUGGUAAUAUAAGUGGAAAUAAAGGCUCUAUGUUAUCGAAGUCGUGAC